rnacentral:rRNA from 1 species
UACAGAGGUCUCGAGCGUUAGGCGGAAUCACUGGGCUUAAAGCGUGUGUAGGCGGGUCGGUAAGUACCUUGUGAAAUCCCACGGCUCAACCGUGGAACUGCUGGGUAUACUGCCGAUCUUGUGCAACCUAGGGGCGAGCGGAACAGAUGGUGGAGCGGUGAAAUGCGUAGAUAUCAUCUGGAACGCCAAUGGUGAAAACAGCUCGCUGGGGGUUUGCAGACGCUGAGAUGCGAAAGCGUGGGGAGCAAACAGG